CUGUAUAGCUAAAACGAAGGAAGUAUUUUUUGAUGAAAAUAUCAUGGGAUCCGAGCAAGCCUUUUCUACUUCCUUUUAUUCCUACCAUUCCUCCAUCCUUGAAUACGGCACAAGAAAAAUUACCUUCGACGCAGUAAAUUCGUUCCGAACCUUUCAAAUGUGUGCAUUAGAAAAAAGUAAAAUAAUAAAAACGAACCAGAUCAUGAACGCUCUCCCACGCGAAGGUGCAUCUAACAAUUAUUUCGAAUUAAAAGAAUCCUUUGAUUUUGAGGUUAUGCCCACGUCCGUUCGAAAUGUAAAUUCUACAUGCAAUUAGCUAGAUUGGAACUUUAUUAAGCAACAGGUGGUCAUGAAAUAAUUGGCAAAAGUACAAAAAGGAAUAUCAAUAAAGCCACUGGGUAAAUACGAACGAUAAACAUUAUAUUCAAUAAACCCUCAGAUAUAUACGUGGGUCAGUGUAAUAAACGCUGAACUGAUUUUUAUCGCGAUCAACCUCCUCAAGUAACAAUUCUAACCUAUCGCCGCCACCUAAACAACUUUCGUCACGAGUCCUAAGAGAUAAAAAUGGCAUCGAAAAUCGUUCAGUAUAUUUUUAGGCCAGACGUAUACAUGUCCCUAGUAACUCUUUGUAAAGUAUAAGAAAAAUAUGUCCGUGCCGUCGAGUAACACGCAACAAGCUAGCACGUAAGUUGUUACCAUCCAAAAAACGUCAAAGGCAUGAAAAAAGAAAGUUACUGCUCGUAUUCAACCCGGGUAUAAUCCAAGUCUCUAUGUCGAUAAACGCGAGUCCCCGCAAACAUGGCAAACAUUAGCAUGUUCACUGUGGUUACCAACCAGAAGGAAGACUUUUAUCCAACGUUCCUAUGGCCAGCGUAAAUACAUAUUUUCAUAGGAAGAUAUCAAGGUGACAACGAUAUCAAAAAACAUUUUCAGACUCGAGAGCGAGGGACGUGGAUGCUUCUCCAUUGAAAGUAUCCUAUACACGAAGAACCCUCUUGGAUAUAAAAAAAAAAAAAAGAAAAACGAAUACUUACGUGGUAGCAAGACGCACGUUUACCUUCCAUACAGAAGAGUAGACAGUGACAAAGUAUGAGAAGACACCACUCCAAGGUCCCUGUCGUUUUCUCAAAUGAUUACAUUUUGGAAUCGCUGUUUCACUGAAAACUCACAUUCCCCAGUGACUAGCUUUCCCCAGUAUUAUUUUUCCAAAUUGUGAUUUUCUCCGUAAAUCAGAUUCCUGAACUGUGUGAAGUCAGUUAUACGCGAGCAUGAAUUUUGAGUAAAACGAUUCGAGAAUGUGAUCGUCGAGGGAAGUUAUAGGGACCCUACACUUUUCUAUUGGCUCGUCGCAAGAGAUUCAGCGAGAUGUGUUCUUAACAAUUUAUCGAAGCAUAGAGUGAGCAUCGGUUCACUGGUUGCAAUGGGUAAUCAGGUAUAUCGUGUAUCUCUUUGCUAUCAAACCAUAAAAGAAGAAAAGCACAAAUAUGUUCAAUGAUCACAGCCAUGAUUUCCCUCUUACGGUCUCUAUUGGUACCUAUUUCCGCCGCUGCUAAUGGUCUAUCCCAUGGCGUUAGUCUAUGGCGAUGUUUCUAGUGGCGCACUCUAGUUACAAGGGGUUCACUCGUCCAAGCCUUUUUUAAAAGUUAACGAGCCGUGCCUCUACCGCGUUCUGUUCAGCCAUACAUACGCAAGCAUAGGUUAGUUCGCGUAGGGUAGAACGCGAGAGACAUUGCACGGAUGAGAUGUUUCAACUACGAGACUCAAAGGACAGUUAACACCCUUUUGCUGCUCAUAGCCGUACGUUCACGCGGGACAUCCUCUUACGUGGCUAGAGAAUCCUGUCCCUGUGCACGUGUGCUCAUGUGUCGAGCAGAGAGGCUACCUAACUCGGCUUAGGCAAACAAGCUGUUAAUUAGUAUAAGGUUCUAAGAGAAUCGUGCAUCGGUUCCAUCACCUCGGAUACAGCAAGUGAGUGGUCUCCCUAGACUGGCUAUACGUAGGUAAUACACAUAUGAGAACAAAAAACACAGGUUAUGUUCCGUCAAUGGAAUCUGAAGCGAUAGAAAUUAUUGUUAUAAAAUAAUAUACAUUUUUAUAAGCGAAAAAAAGGGCCUUGUAGGCUUCCUCAAUUUAUAUGGGUAUACAUAGAAGUAGGGGUAUAAUAUUUUAAUUGAUAGAAAGUAUAACGUUCGUUUUCAGUUGAAAGUGUCAAAGUUCUUGUGCGACUUACUAGAAUUUUUUUAAUCUUGCACAUAACCUAGUCCUGACACGAAUAGUAGACACGAAAUUAUUCUUUAACAUACAAUAUGAAAUAUGUCAUGCGAACAAUCGCCUGUCUUUUGCGUAACCGUACGCGUUUCUUUAUCAGAUUCGGGGAGGUUAGAUGUUUUUGACAAAAUUAUUUCGUCCAUGUUUACCCUACAGCUUACAGGUACGGAUUGACUAUGGGUAUAUCAAUAGUACGCAUAUAGGGCACUGUAAAGAAAAGUCCUUUAGAUACAAUAGGAUACGAGAUUUGCCCUAUUUACACUUAAGACAGAAGUAGUAGGAGCUGGGUCGAGUCCUAGAGAAUUGAAUAGGGUCGAAUCGACUGGAGGAAUAAUAGAAGAGUUACGCAAAGUAGAACGCCAUGGAACGUUAAAUGGUCGAGGUUGCGUUCGAGGCACUGAUGGAAGCGGGGAUUAGAUGAAAUUUACGAUGGUACUCGAUUAAGAAUAAACUUUACUUUAGAAUUUGAUUAACCCACUCAGUUAGUGAACUUUUCAUUUCGUCCGGUAACGACCUUAUCCGCACGUUAAGUACUCCACUCGUAAUCCAAUUUUAAUCCGGUUAAUACGACAUUCUGUGAAACGACACAGACUGAGAAUGAUAGCUAGGACAAAUGCAUUAUAGAGUAUUACAGUAACGUAUAGUCUAUUUGAAAGUAACUGCAGCUUAAAGUUUCUAGAUGAAAAUUGCUACUGCGCCUGUUUAUUCGAAUACUUACGAAAAUAUAUAAAUAUUGAUAAUAGAAACACAAAUAGAUUCUCACCAAUUAUAUUUUUAUUGUUUACUGCCAUUUUACGAAUUUCAAUACAUGUAAACCCAAAUACAAAUUUUUAUUUUAUGUUUCAAUUCAUAAAACACAAUGUGGCCCUACUAUCUCAUAAUAAAACAUCACGUACCAAUUUUAACCGAUCUGACGUACCACAAGUUUCACGGUACCAUUGAUUUAUCAGUCGACCACCUAUAUAUAUAUUCAUAAGUAAUAAAUUAUUGAGAACCGGAAUAAACGUAAGAAAAGUAGUUCGGAAACGUUCUAGCAAGCAUCCCAGGAGGUACCCGUAACAUAACCUAUAAAUCCGAAAGAAAAAUCUCAAAGUAACGAAAAAGUAAAAAAAAAGAGCGGUUGGCCGCCUGUCGAGAGCGUAUCUGCUAUAUACACGUGCAAUAUGAGUUUGUAUCUUUAUAAUAAAAAAGAAAUUAAAAAAAUGGCUAAAAUAUACCACCAUCCGUUUAUCCAUAGUACGUUACAAAAGCAAUUACCAAGUAACUCGCAAAAGCCAUUACGUUACAUGUUCUCUUUUACGCUUGCGAACGUGUAGCAGACUUAGAGAUCAGCACUGAUGUACAUAUACGUAUAUAUACCUAAAUACGUUACACGAUUUCACAUAUGCUGUAUCCAUAGCACAUACGUAAAGUUUCACACGGAAGCUCGUACGUGGUUUUGGCAUCACAGAAAAGAACGAAAAUUAGAGUCAAGACAAAAGUUGUGUAUGACGUGAGAAAAAGAAAACGGCGAUAUACCAGUCAACAUAUAUCCACCGUUAUACAUCAUAUUCCUUGGAAUGCUUAGACCUUACUCACAGGAAGCGAGUAACCAUUCGUCUUGCCAGAGCAGCAGGGGGGACUAGUAACGAAUUAAAUAAUAAUCACUAAAAGGACAACAACCACAACGGGCUACCCAGGAAAAUGCUCCUACCUGUUGUAUUAAUUGAACGAUAUGAAUCUGACCUAAAUACGUAGAGAGCCAAGUACUCGCACGUUACGAAGUGCACACAGUAGUCAAGCAUAUCGAGUGUACGUUUUGGUUUGCAUACACAUAGGAUGAGACUGAUUUAUGCUCCACGAUAGCGUACCGUUACUAAAUCACAAGUGCAUCUGUACCAACAGGGAAUUUGGAUACGUACUUAUUUCCUGUGGAGUUUUCGAAACAGGAAUGGAUAUUUCACGGCAUCCUCUUUGUCAAUUCAUGUGCGACCCCUCGGACGUUAUACUUUCAGGAUGUCUCGCACUGCCUGGUUUGCAAAAUUACUAAACGAAUUAUUAACGCCACUGAUAAAGUACCUUGCGGUUGAGGUGUCUUCAGCUUACACUCUACUUCUCAAAUCGCUUCUGCAUCCUGACUUCACUCCACACUUCGCCAACGUGCAUAAUAAUCCCAUCGAUGAACUUUAAGCGCGGCUGGAAGCCUAACGAGAAAGAGAAAACUUCUUUUACGUCACGGAAGACUAAUUCUGCAAAGAGGAAUAAGCCUUUACUCCAGUUUAUUAUUAUAAUAGAAAAUUGAACCCAGCCGCUGUUACCAACCUUGUGCCUUUGAAAAUUCCAUCCUGACUACCGUUUUAUGUGCUGCCGCGAUUAUUCCAUUAUUUUCGCGUGUACUGUGCUAAUUAAUAACGAUCCAGGGGUCGAGGAGACUUAACCUGCUUUUAAGGGCGAAAGAGAGAUAAGGUACAAGAGGUCCUGACACUUGGGCAAAGUUUCUAUAUCGUGACGACCUGCAUGGUUUUACAUGGUUAACUCGAUAUAACUCGUUUACGAUUUGGAGGGAGAUUCACCCUUUGUAUACCAGACAUUACCUUCAAGGCGUUACAACGUCUUCCGGCCUUCCAGAGGUUUAACGGUUUACGGUUUAGUUUGUGAUGUCAGAUUUCACUGCAAUGACGUUCUCGGAAUUUAUUUUCAAUGUUUCGUCGAGGGAAGAUGACUCUGCACGUGGCUAAGGACAGCGAGACAGCAGUGACAUCUACAAUAACUGCCGUAUAGCUAAUACUACAUUCACUUGCAUACUCAUGUCAAAUAUUAUUAUUUCACUUCGAGAAAACAAACGUUCACGUUAAACACACUAAUAACAUACGAGUUACGUAUAAACUAAUUUAUAAAUUCGCUGAGCUUUCGACGAACGUCACGACGUUAUUAUAUCUGCUUGUGCGCACCACCCUCGAUAGACGAUAGGAAUGGAUCAUUGUUUUGGAAUACAAGUUGACUCGAGUGUAUCUGGGCUAUUUCAUGACUCGGAAGGUUUAUCGAGAUUUGACUGGAUCAACUACCGGGUCCACUGC